rnacentral:rRNA from 1 species
CCUACGAGAGGCAGCAGUGAGGAAUAUUGGUCAAUGGGCGCGAGCCUGAACCAGCCAAGUAGCGUGAAGGAUGACUGCCCUACGGGUUGUAAACUUCUUUUAUAAAGGAAUAAAGUGAGGCACGUGUGCCUUAUUGUAUGUACUUUAUGAAUAAGGAUCGGCUAACUCCGUGCCAGCAGCCGCGGUAAUACGGAGGAUGCGAGCGUUAUCCGGAUUUAUUGGGUUUAAAGGGUGCGUAGGCGGGCUGUUAAGUCAGCGGUAAAAGCCCGGGGCUCAACCCCGGCGAGCCGUUGAAACUGGCUUUCUUGAGAUGUCGAGAGGUAUGCGGAAUGCGCAGUGUAGCGGUGAAAUGCUUAGAUAUUGCGCAGAACUCCGAUUGCGAAGGCAGCAUACCGGCGGCGAUCUGACGCUGAGGCACGAAAGCGUGGGUAUCGAACAGGAUUAGAUACCCCAGUAGUC